rnacentral:pre_miRNA from 1 species
AGUAAAAUUGCCAGGUCAUUUGGUAACUCCAUGUUUAACAUUUUGAGAAAUUGUCAAACUGUUUUCCAAAGUGGCUGCACCAUUUUACAUUGCCACCAGUAAU